GGAAGGCGGUGAAGUUCAGGUGAGCUCUGGUCAAAGCUCAGCAUGGGUCAGAACACAAAUGAUGUCGCUUCGAUGUAUUGAGGAUUAAUACAUAUUCUUGGAUACAAUCCUACAGAGAACAGAGGCAUACGGAGAAACCAUCACGUCAAAUGCAAAUGACCAGGUCCUUUCCAGGUGUUUUUACCAAGGGCAGAGGCGCUUUCCUUGUUCCUGUCAAGAGACUUAAACCACUUGAUGUGGCUUUCUAUUUGUUGCCAAAGCAGUGUGAAAAAAUAAAAUAAAAAGAGGAGCAUAUAGUCCAUAUGCAUGCAGGAUUGGGCUGUAGGACUGCUCAUCUAGAUGAAAGCACAACACAUGAAGAGUUAUGUGAAGCCCUCAAAGUUUUAUUUCCAAAAUUGGGGGCUGUGACCGGUGGGUGGCUGCUAUACAAAUCUGCAGGUGGAUGGGGUAGCCGAAAACUCUCUCGUGGCUCCUGAUGAGACUGGCUAUACAGUUAUAAAUCCACCAACUUUUGCAGCUCUUAGAAUUUGAGUCAACGA